GACUGGCCAACUUGAGUUAGUUGGGGAGAGUGAUCCCCAUUGCUUGGCCCUCGAGGAUGAGUCCUCCCGGGCCUGUCGCUCCCUCGUGGAUGGGCUGCGGGCCGGGCUCUGGUCCGUGUCACCGCAGGUCCCUUAACACCCACGGACUUUGUCUGGAACGGAAGGGCCUCAGCUUAGUCAUCCCCCCGGUUUCUUCCACUUCUCCGUCUCCCGAGUCCCUAAAGGUUUUCCAGGAAGGCGGGACGUGUAACCCCGGGCCGGGCCGGGACAUUUUCUAGAUUGAUCACCGCACUUGACGCACGUUGGUCAGUGGGCGCCAAUACUGGGGCACUGGCCUGGCCUGACGGGCAGCACGAGCCCCGCACCUCAGAGAGCUCCCUCUCUAGUGGGGGGACUUAAGACUCCAUUUCCAAAAGUGUUUUUUAGUCCCCCUCGAGCCUUGGGGUCCCCCAGCCCAGUUCCAGGGCAGGGAGGAUCUUCACAUUGACCAAGUCACACAGAACGUUCUUACACCAGUCCUUGAAGCCGUGUGUGGCCCAGUUUUGGAGGAACCCGCCCCUCCCGUCCCCGCUUUGUGAGCGCGAUUGGCCACAGAACAGAUCCACGCAGUGAGACUCACCGGGACUAUUUUCUCGGCCCUGGCCAAAAUCAGUUAGCGGAGAAUUACGUCUGAUUACGGCCCUUGCUGUUUGGAGAAGGGUCUCGGGCCCUCAUCCUGAUAAGGACAUUUCGCCAUUUAUCAUGUAACUGAAUGCUGAGAGGAGCAGCUGAUCAUCCCUCACCGCCGGGAGACGAUGCGACGCUUGCCACGAGGUUCUUCUGUGGAAAGGAGUGGGAGCCUCUGGGUCAGAGUCCCACGGCCUCCUUAUGUGACUUCUCAGAUUUGGGACAACGAUUAUAAAUAAUAAUAACUCAGAAUUUCAGAGUGCUUCACAUACAUCAGCUCAUGUCAUUUACACAGUGACAUUGGGAGAUUUCCGGUGUGAAUAUGAAGACUUCAGAGGGUCACUGAGAUGAUAAAUUGAUGUAAUAACGGGUCUAUAAUUUCUCCAAUGAUGGUCUUCCGGGGCUUUCCAAUGAUAAUGGGAUGGUCGGUCUGCCCAGAAGGCCACAUUUGUGAAUGUCUUCUGAUUGAACAGUACGGGACAAGAAAAUCACGUCCAGGAGCUUUGAUAGGGGUCAGGAGGGACUGAAUGAAGAUUGUCCAAGUGAUGAUUGGCCCAGUACAGCUUGUUGCCCGUGAAUUGUGAGUUUGAUUUUCUUUAAAGGCUUUGCAUCAAAAUCCACAGAUUAUUACUUCCAGAUUGAUUUUUCCCAUGGGACAUCUGUGCAGUGUGUGUUUUAAUUAUCAUUUCAUAUGAAUAAAUACUUUUGGAUCCGAAA